CCUACGGGAGGCAGCAGUAGGGAAUCUUCCACAAUGGGCGCAAGCCUGAUGCAGCAACGCCGCGUGGGUGAAGAAGGUCUUCGGAUCGUAAAACCCUGUUGUUAGAGAAGAAGGUGCGUGAGAGUAACUGUUCACGUUUCGACGGUAUCUAACCAGAAAGCCACGGCUAACUACGUGCCAGCAGCCGCGGUAAUACGUAGGUUGCAAGCGUUAUCCGGAUUUAUUGGGCGUAAAGGGAACGCAGGCGGUCUGUUAAGUCGGAUGUGAAAGCCUUGGGCUUAACCGGAGUAGUGCAUUGGAAACUGGGAGACUUGAGUGCAGAAGAGGAGAGUAGAACUCCAGGUGUAGCGGUGAAAUGCGUAGAGAUAUGGAAGAACACCAGUGGCGAAGGCGGCUCUCUGGUCUGUAACUGACGCUGAGGUUCGAAAGCGUGGGUAGCAAACAGGAUUAGAUACCCUAGUAGUC
rnacentral:rRNA from 1 species